rnacentral:rRNA from 1 species
GACGAACGCUGGCGGCGCGCCUAACACAUGCAAGUCGAACGAGCGAGAGAGAGCUUGCUUUCUCGAGCGAGUGGCGAACGGGUGAGUAAUGCGUGAGGAACCUGCCUCAAAGAGGGGGACAACAGUUGGAAACGACUGCUAAUACCGCAUAAGCCCACGACCCGGCAUCGGGUAGAGGGAAAAGGAGCAAUCCGCUUUGAGAUGGCCUCGCGUCCGAUUAGCUAGUUGGUGAGGUAACGGCCCACCAAGGCGACGAUCGGUAGCCGGACUGAGAGGUUGAACGGCCACAUUGGGACUGAGACACGGCCCAGACUCCUACGGGAGGCAGCAGUGGGGAAUAUUGCACAAUGGGGGAAACCCUGAUGCAGCGACGCCGCGUGGAGGAAGAAGGUCUUCGGAUUGUAAACUCCUGUUGUGGAGGAAGAUAAUGACGGUACUCAACAAGGAAGUGACGGCUAACUACGUG